rnacentral:rRNA from 1 species
GACGAACGCUGGCGGCGUGCCUAAUACAUGCAAGUCGAGCGAGCUUGCCUAGAUGAUUUUAGUGCUUGCACUAAAUGAAACUAGAUACAAGCGAGCGGCGGACGGGUGAGUAACACGUGGGUAACCUGCCCAAGAGACUGGGAUAACACCUGGAAACAGAUGCUAAUACCGGAUAACAACACUAGACGCAUGUCUAGAGUUUGAAAGGCGGCGUAAGCUGUCGCUAAGGGAUGGCCCCGCGGUGCAUUAGCUAGUUGGUAAGGUAACGGCUUACCAAGGCGACGAUGCAUAGCCGAGUUGAGAGACUGAUCGGCCACAUUGGGACUGAGACACGGCCCAA